rnacentral:lncRNA from 1 species
GACAACAAAAAAAUAUUUAUUUCCAGAUAUUAUUAAUUUUCCACCAAAAUAUUAAAAAAAAAAAAUACACUAUUCAAUUUGUCUUUAAGAGUUGCUGCCACAGACUCACAUAGUUUCUCUGCAGAAGGGUCAUAGCCAUUUGGAGGGAGGAAGAAGAAGAGAAUUUAGUUUUUUAUUCUAUUUUUUACUAAGGGUAAAAUUGUC